GACGAACGCUGGCGGCACGCCUAACACAUGCAAGUCGAACGGACUUACAAGAGCUUGCUUUUUUAAGUUAGUGGCGGACGGGUGAGUAACACGUGAGCAACCUGCCUCUGAGAGGGGGAUAGCUUCUGGAAACGGAUGGUAAUACCCCAUAAAAUAUAAAUAUCGCAUGAUAGAUAUAUCAAAGAAAUUCGCUCAGAGAUGGGCUCGCGUCUGAUUAGAUAGUUGGUGAGGUAACGGCUCACCAAGUCGACGAUCAGUAGCCGGACUGAGAGGUUGUACGGCCACAUUGAGACUGAGACACGGCCCAGACUCCUACGGGAGGCAGCAGCGGGGAAUAUUGCACAAUGGAGGGAACUCUGAUGCAGCGAUGCCGCGUGGAGGAAGAAGGUUUUCGGAUUGUAAACUCCUUUUAUCAGGGACGAUAAUGACGGUACCUGAAGAAAAAGCUCCGGCUAACUACGUG
rnacentral:rRNA from 1 species